GGUACCUUAGCUCAGAUGGUAGAGCAACGGACUGAAAAUCCGUGUGUCCCUGGUUCGAUCCCUGGAGGCACCACCA
rnacentral:tRNA from 1 species